AUUGAACGCUGGCGGCAUGCUUUACACAUGCAAGUCGAACGGCAGCGCGGGCUUCGGCCUGGCGGCGAGUGGCGAACGGGUGAGUAAUGCAUCGGAACGUGCCCAGUAGUGGGGGAUAGCCCGGCGAAAGCCGGAUUAAUACCGCAUACGACCUGGGGGUGAAAGCGGGGGACCGAAAGGCCUCGCGCUAUUGGAGCGGCCGAUGUCGGAUUAGCUAGUUGGUGGGGUAAAGGCUUACCAAGGCGACGAUCCGUAGCUGGUCUGAGAGGACGACCAGCCACACUGGGACUGAGACACGGCCCAGACUCCUACGGGAGGCAGCAGUGGGGAAUUUUGGACGAUGGGGGCAACCCUGAUCCAGCCAUGCCGCGUGCGGGAAGAAGGCCUUCGGGUUGUAAACCGCUUUUGUUCGGGAAGAAAUCCUCUGGGCUAAUACCCCGGGGGGAUGACGGUACCGGAAGAAUAAGCACCGGCUAACUACGUG
rnacentral:rRNA from 1 species